rnacentral:rRNA from 1 species
AGAUUGAACGCUGGCGGCAUGCCUUACACAUGCAAGUCGAACGGUAGAGUAGCAAUACUCGAGAGUGGCGAACGGGUGAGUAAUAUAUCGGAACGUGCCCAGUCGUGGGGGAUAACGUAGAGAAAUUUACGCUAAUACCGCAUACGAUCUACGGAUGAAAGCGGGGGACUCGCAAGAGCCUCGCGCGAUUGGAGCGGCUGAUAUCAGAUUAGGUUGUUGGUGAGGUAAAAGCUCACCAAGCCGACGAUCUGUAGCUGGUUUGAGAGAACGACCAGCCACACUGGGACUGAGACACGGCCCAGACUCCUACGGGAGGCAGCGAGUGGGGAAUUUUGGGACAAGUGGGACGAAAGCCUGAUCCGAGCAAGUGCCGCGUGCAAGGAAGAAGGCCUUACGGGUUGUAAACUGCGUUUU